UUCUCUUGUUUCAGAGCAGAAAACCCUCGAUUCCUUUCUUCUCCAUCGAAAUUUCUUCCUUCUUCAUCUUCAUCUCUUCUUUCUCCCUCGAUUUUGAAUAAUCUCUUCUUCAUCACCUACCACGUUUUCCCGAGAAUAAUCUCCCAAAAUCACCAUUCAUCUUCGUUAUUCUCCCAAAAUCAUCAUCACUUUACAAUGGUUUCCAGAGAAUAACAUUUUGAGGUCAAAUUUUUGGAUUUCAUCUUCGUAGAACAGGGAGAAAAUUACCGGCAAACAAUAGUGUUCCUUGAAGAUAAGCUCUGUAAUAAUCGUUCCCGUACACCAUUAGAGCACCAGCACCCCUUCCGUCCCCGUGCCAUUAUGGCACGGGCAAUCCACUAGUACUUAAUAAACACAAAAUAGAAGCACUAGGUAGUAAAACCAAUUGCCCCUUAUCCUUCAUCAUAUUUAUAAUGAAACUAAUGUCUUUAUCAUUUAUAAUUUUAUAUUCUUAAAAAAAAAAUUUAUAAAUCUUUUUAAUAUUUUUUUUAAUUGUGAAAUAGAGAAAGAGAGGCAGAGUAAAGGGAAGAAGACAGAGAGACUUUUAUUGAUAUGUAAAGAAUUACAAGGAUUUACAUCUCUAUUUAUAGGGAUAAAAGAAAACCUAAUCUUAGAUACAAGGUCAUCUUAAUAAAUAAACAUUAGUUUACAA